rnacentral:antisense_RNA from 1 species
UUGGCGGUGUAGUCCCAGAUCCGCUCCUCGUCGGUGAGCGACUUCUCGCCGAACGCCUCCCCGUCGGCGAGCACCCCCAGGUUGACCGGGUCGCCGUAGUUGCCGACGCCGACCUUGUUCACCUUGCCGUGCGCGAUCACGUACACGUGGUCGGCGACCGAGCCGAACUCGACGAUCACCUGACCGGGCUGGUACUCCUGCUGCACGAACUUGUCGGCCAUGGCGGCCAGCACGUCCGCGUCGUCGAACUCGCUGAGCACCGAGAGUUCCCGCAGCUCGGCCGGGACGACCCGGACCUGCGCACCGACGUUGGUGAAGCUCAGCCGGCCGUCGCCGAUCCGAUAAGUCAUCCGCCGGUUCACCCGAUACGCCCCACCGGCGACCUGAACCCAGGGAAGCUUACGGAGCAGCCAUCGCGAAGUGAUCUCCUGCAUCUGCGGCGCGGUCUUGGUGGUGGUCGUGAGGUUGCGGGCCGCCGCCGUGCUCAGGCUCUGCCGCUGCUCUUCGU